GAAGGCGGGWUAAGCUCAAAUUAAAAUCUGACAGUUAUUUGCUGUCCGAGUUGUAAUCUAGAGAAGUGUUUUCAGUACUGGACCAUGUAUAAGUCUCCUGGAAUGGAGUGUCAUAGAGGGUGAGAAUCCCGUCUUUAACAUGGACUUUACCAGUGCAUUGUGAUGCGCUCUCAAAGAGUCGAGUUGUUUGGGAAUGCAGCUCAAAAUGGGUGGUAAAUUCCAUCUAAAGCUAAAUAUUGGCGAGAGACCGAUAGUGAACAAGUACCGUGAGGGAAAGAUGAAAAGAACUUUGGAAAGAGAGUUAAACAGUACGUGAAAUUGUUGAAAGGGAAACGCUUGAAGUCAGUCACAUUGAUCAGAGAUCAGUCCUGUUAUUUACAUUGCAGGAUGUAUUGUCUGGUUUGAUGGGUCAACAUCAAUUUUGACUGUUGGAAAAAGGUUAAAGGAAAUGUAGCAUCUCUAAGAUGUGUUAUAGUCCUUUAGUUGUAUACAGCAGUUAGGAUUGAGGAACUCAGCAUGCCCCACAAAGGCCGGGUUUUAUUUUAAACCACGUUUCAUGCUUAGGAUGUUGGCAAAAUGGCUUUAAUCGACCCGUCUUGAAACACGGACCAAGGAGUCUAACAUACCUGCGAGUGUUUGGGUGGUAAACCCAAGCGCAUAAUGAAAGUGAAAGUUGAGAUCCCUUUUGAAAUGAGGGAGCAUCGAUACUCAGACCAGAACUUUUUGGGACGGAUCUGCGGUAGAGCAUGUAUGUUGGGACCCGAAAGAUGGUGAACUAUGCCUGAAUAGGGUGAAGCCAGAGGAAACUUU
rnacentral:rRNA from 1 species